rnacentral:lncRNA from 1 species
GCCCCGGUGGAUUUUUCAAAUAGGAAAGUUAUUGUGUAAUAAAAUUCAUUUUUAGAAAGCUGAGUGCUAACUUAGCCUUCAAAGAUGGUUUAUAAGAGCAUCAAGAUUAUUUUUUACAUGUUUUAUGGGCUAUUUUCUGUUUGACAAUCCGUAUUUUCAUAGCUAGACCGGCUUUCGGCCCAGAAAUUAAUGUAAUGUUUACAAACACUUUUUUUCUACACGAACUUUUUGACGCAAUUUUACAAAAAAAUGAGACGAAAGACAUAUGAUUUUCAUUGGAUUUGCUGAAUGAUGUAUGUACACAGUUUCAGAAAAGGUAUUACUUCAAGCGAUUGAAAUUCUACUUUUAGCCAAAUUUUGGGGAAAUAUGUGACAUCUUUCCCCCUUUUUGCAAUAUUUUAACAAAUAAAUACAGAUUGUUUGCCAUGGAUACACCCAAAAGAAAUUAUAUUUUACCAUUUUAUAUACUGGAUAUAAAAUCUAUGGAAGAUUCUGAUUACAUACAUAUGCACAUAUAUGAC